GACCAGUCGUCCUCUACACAUGCUGAUUCUACGUGUUUUAGUCGGUGUAACUGCAGUCAUCGUUAUUAUAACUGGAGUUAUCUUCGGAUUUAUUUGCAGUAAAAUAUGCCAGGGAUGCUGGUCAAGAUCAGUCACAUCUGGAUUAUCUGCAUCUCCUGGCUCUCUGGAUGAAGAUGACCCAGAUGACCCCUACACAAGCCUCCAACAACCAGCCAAUGAUCUCUACCAAACUGUCCCAGCCAGAAAUACAGAGAGGUUUCCCCUGUAUGAUCAGGAAAUUGAUGGAAGAGAGACUGAUCCAAGUUGGGAAAUUUAUGAAAACAUUUAACCAAAAAAAAAAUUUGCUCCAAACACUUCAGCUUGUCGCAUUAAUGUUGUCACUGUGGAAUAUCAUGUGAAAAGUGCUAAAUGCUGGUUGUGCUCAAAUUGCACCAAAUUACAGAGAGAAAUAAGUGGAAUUUAGUUGUAGCAGGUUAUAGCUUAAACUGUUGAAAGAUCUAAAGCUGCAUGCUUUGUUUUCAUACCUACGUGUCAGUGACAGAUGUGGCUUGACGCAUUAUAUUUUUGAGUUUCCAUCCAUUCAGGUCAGAGUUCAAGGUCACUGUCACCUCAUUUGUUUUA